UGGGGAAUCUUGCGCAAUGGUCUAACGACUGACGCAGCGACGCCGCGUGUGGGAGGACGCCUUUCGGGGUGUAAACCACUGUUGCCCGGGACGAACUGCGCGAUUCAUCGCGCGUGACGGUACCGGGUGAGGAAGCACCGGCUAACUCCGUGCCAGCAGCCGCGGUAAUACGGAGGGUGCGAGCGUUGUCCGGAAUCAUUGGGCGUAAAGGGCGCGUAGGUGGCCCGGUCAGUCCGUGGUGAAAGCGCGGGGCUCAACCCUGCGUCGGCCAUGGAUACUGCCGCGGCUCGAGCACUGUAGAGGCAGGCGGAAUUCCGGGUGUAGCGGUGGAAUGCGUAGAGAUCCGGAAGAACACCGGUGGCGAAGGCGGCCUGCUGGGCAGUUAGCUGACACUGAGGCGCGACAGCGUGGGGAGCAAACAG
rnacentral:rRNA from 1 species